rnacentral:lncRNA from 1 species
CGCGAGCGAAACCCGCUGUUACCUGUUCGCAGAGAAGGCGUGGUGCGGCGGCGAACGGUGGCGACGACGUUGGACCAACACGACCGGGGAAACUUCGCUACGGCGGCUUCGAUUUCGCGUUGGCUCUUCAAGCUUCAGAGCAGAAGCGGCUCGUGGGGUAGAUAGCAGUAGCAACUGGCGUCGGGAUCUCGUGGUUCGUG